rnacentral:lncRNA from 1 species
UUUUUUUUUUUUUUAAGAACGUGGGAUUCUUGCUUUCCAAUGCACACUAUAUAAUAGAUUGAUUUAAAAUCACCUUGGAAAUUUCACAAGCAAUUUGGUCUCAUUAAACUCAGGAGCAAAAUAUUCACUCAUUUCCACAAGAUCAGGAUCUCAUCUUUGGCUGAAAACUGCUUACUGAUACCACAUACCCCAGUAUCUCUGGCUGGUAGAAUAAAUGCGAGCAGCCCUACUGGUCCAAUCAGCCACCUUUAUUCACCUAUUUAUGAUGUUUGCAGAAUCCAUAGUGAGCACUACUGAACCAGGUUUCUUUACCAAAAAUACAGGUUUUCCCACAAGAAAUAUGUGCUGUCACAGUUCAGUAAAUGUAUUUAAUGUUAAGGUCUCUGUAACGUAAACAGCAGAUUUAUUUUCUCGUAACUUCUUGGAGACGUUCAGAUCAAUGCCAUUGUAUGACUGACAAAUUUAAGGCUUCCACAGAUUCUGACUCUCCUUACAAUCAUUCCCUCUCCAGUAACAAAUGGAAUAAUUAGACAGUUUCCAAAACUUUUUCAAGUACCUACGAUGCGUGUCAGAUAACGUCAGAGCACUCUAAAUGCAUGAACUUCUGUGUUGACAGUCAAUGGUCCUCCAUAUGCUCUCACUAGAACAACUUCCUAAGAAUAUGUAGUAUCAUAAUGCGCAAUGUAUAAAGGUAAUAACAGCUCUAGGAAAGUCGGAAUCGUGACAGUUGCAGAAAUAAUCUGCUGUCAGAUGAAGAGAGAUACUAUUAUUAGGACACAGAGAGGUAGAACUUUGGUAUCUACCCCUACACUGUAUUAGAUACUGGGAAAACAGGAUAUGCUCUAAGACCACGGCUUUCAUCUGGUGGUUGAUGACAUACUGAAGGGGGCUGGAGGCUGUUUUUAAGGAGCUCACCAGAAGUAGCUGUGAAAAGUGAGCCUCCUGUCAGGAGGCAUAAGUUCACAUCUCCAUUCAAAAGUCUUUGGAAAAAUACUGGGAAAAAAGCCUAACUGAAAUCCACUAUUUUUGGUGAUGAAGAAGUGAGGAUCAGCAUUCAGAAUUGGUAGCAAGUGAGGUGGGAAGUGCUUUCAUUCACAACCAAACCUUCAGCUGUUAGUCAGGAAAACUGGAAUGACAGAUUUGAUCCUGAAGGCAUUUGUUUCAGUCUACUUACCAUAACCUGCUGAAGACAAUUUGCAUCAUUUGGGCUUGCAAAUACGCUCUCAAAAUCCCUUCCAACAUUAAGGGAAAUUCUGGCUUUGUUGGGAUUUGGGGAUUAAUCAUUUUGUCAGAGUAUCAAUUUGGUUUGUUACAUUUAUGCAACGAAACAGUGCUUUAUUACAAUGUAUAUCGUAAGCGUUGAAAGUACACUUCAGACAUUUCAAUGGACAAGAACCAUUUGAGGCAAUACUCUGUUUAACAGAAGUUCUAAGGUUUUCAUUAAAUGUCUGCUAUCAGCUCUACAGGGAAACUAGUGAUAUAUCCCUAGUACAAGAAUUAACUUUGCCUUUUUCAUUAGAAUGACUGUGUGUAUCAGCAAGGUGGUGGUGAUUCAAAGCAGAAUACUUGCCUGAGGUUGUCUUGCUUUGUUUCCAGCUAAAGGUUUCAAAGAACUCUGAGGCUAUGUGAGAUUGUGUUUAUAAGCAACUUCCCCUUGCGCUGCCUGACUUAUCCCUACUGAGUGAGAUAAUACAUUGAGAUUCUGGGAAUAUGUCGUGUACUUGAUGAGAGCUCACCGUACCAAUUUGUUUGUAAUAGAAUACGGUGAACAAAACAUAGAGAUGAGGUUGCUGGUGGUGGUGGAGGGGCGCAGGAGGGAAACCAUCCUUUGGAGGUUACUUGUAGAGUCACAGAUUAGUUUCCCCAAGUUUCAGAACUCACUGCAUUUUGAAAUAUUACAGGCAAGAAAAAACAAACCAACCAACCCUCUUCCCCCCCAAAAAAAUCUUGAUUUCUCAUGCCUGCUGGUGGAGACUGAGGCCAGAGCUUGUGCUCCUGGUGUGUGCAGAAUGGACAGAGCCCACAGCA